rnacentral:rRNA from 1 species
UACAGAGGGGGCAAGCGUUGUUCGGAAUUACUGGGCGUAAAGGGCGCGUAGGCGGCCUGCUAAGUCGAACGUGAAAUCCCCGGGCUCAACCCGGGAACUGCGUCCGAUACUGGUUGGCUUGAAUCCGGGAGAGGGAUGCGGAAUUCCAGGUGUAGCGGUGAAAUGCGUAGAUAUCUGGAGGAACACCGGUGGCGAAGGCGGCAUCCUGGACCGGCAUUGACGCUGAGGCGCGAAAGCCAGGGGAGCGAACGGG